AUAUCUCUCUGUACGGGAAGGAUGAGAAGCUUCUACCAGGGUUCGAUUCGAGCGCAGCGAGAAAGCGUUGCCGCAGGCAACGACCCGAAGGGCGAAGCGCGCAGCGCUGAGUCAUCCUU
rnacentral:sRNA from 2 species